rnacentral:tRNA from 1 species
GGAGAGGUACCCAAGAGGCCGAAGGGGACCCUUUGCUAAAGGGUUAGGCGUGUAACAGCGCGCGAGGGUUCGAAUCCCUCUCUCUCCG